rnacentral:rRNA from 1 species
UACGAAGGGGGCUAGCGUUGCUCGGAAUCACUGGGCGUAAAGGGCGCGUAGGCGGACAGUUAAGUUGGGGGUGAAAGCCCGGGGCUCAACCUCGGAAUUGCCUUCAAUACUGGCUGUCUUGAGUGUGAGAGAGGUGUGUGGAACUCCGAGUGUAGAGGUGAAAUUCGUAGAUAUUCGGAAGAACACCAGUGGCGAAGGCGACACACUGGCUCACUACUGACGCUGAGGCGCGAAAGCGUGGGGAGCAAACAGG